rnacentral:tRNA from 1 species
GCCUGGGUGGCUCAGUCGGUUAAGCAUCUGACUUCGGCUCAGGUCAUGAUCUCACAGUCUGUGGGUUCAAGCCCCGCAUCUGGCU